GCUGUGAAGGCCCCAGUGUAUGCCCACGUUGCCUGUGAAUUCCUGCACCUCCCCUCUAUUGAAUUUCCUUAUUCUGCACAGGAAUCGAAGGAGCCAAAUGGAGAAGGGCUGGAGUAUUUUAGAGUAUUCCUGCUGGCACUGGUAGCCGGGGCACCAGGAUGCUGUGGGCUGAGGUGACUCCAGGGAAAUCCCGUGGUCCUGUGAAGAGGCAUUGUCAGCCAGAGGACAGAAGGAACAAGUGGGCAGAGUAUUCCUUGCUGGUACUGGUAGCAGAGGCACCAGGAUGCUGUGUGCUGAGGUGACGCCAGGGAAAUCCAGUGGUCCCGUGAAGAGGCAUUGUCAGCCAGAGCACAGAAGGAGCACGUUGGCAGAGGUGACGGGUCUGCGCCCAUGUUCUUGUAGAGCUGGGCGAGCUCUGCUGCAAAGAGCUCAGGAAACAGGCAGCAGCUGUCCCUGAAGCCCUUGCCUUUGGCUCUCUCUCCACUUCCUGUUGGGAUAUUAGGGGACACAAGACCAAUGGUGGACUUUGGACCUGGUUAAUGUAAGACAUUUGAUAUCAGGAUGCCUUGGCAAAAGGAAAUGGAACUUUGACAAUUAGUCCUAGAUUGCAAGAAGAUUAAAUCAUAAUGGGUUUACUGGAAAAAGAAAAUCCCAUUAAAUUCUGCAAGCAAGAGUUGUUAUAUGCAUAAGUUUCUGUAUGUAAUUUUAACCCAAUCAUUGUAGUACACUAGUCUCCCUGAAAUAGGAUAUAUAAGCGUUUUUAUCCCACAAUAAAAACAUUCUGAUCACCUAAUCAGUCUUCCCUGUCUCUCUCCAUCACUGACAAUUGGUACCUCUGUGUGAGGAAAUGAGCCAGACUGGCAGCAGUCGGCGAGCCCCUGGAACUGAUCGUGAUGGUGAGAGAACUGCGUCUGGGCCCACAAUCUCCUGUCUGCUGCGACUGACAGAAAACAGAGAGGAAGCGCUGGGUGGCACUAUGCAAGACACAGAUGCCUCAGCCGAUGCCUCAGCCGGACCGCCACAAGCCUCAGCCCAGCCACCGCCCACAGAGCACAAGAAUGGACCUGGCAACCUGCGAGGUUCCUUGAUUCAUCUGUUCAUUUGAUUCCCAUAGGAGUUUUUGGACCACCUGGACAGCCUAUGCACACUUUGAUUGUUUGCUCUCCCUGGAGCUAUUGACUCUGAUUCAUGGCAUGGACUCUCCAGAUGCUCUGUAUAGUCCUGGUCAGGAGCAAUACAGCUCAACUUAUACCCUUUCCUGCAGCACCCCUGUCUGCACCCCUGAUAGCUGACCAGAGGGAGGGGGGUUUUGCUUCCACAGAGCUCCCACAGAUUUUAGGACACAACUGCAUUAGAUCUGAGCAUCUAACAUGCCAAUGCAAAGUGACUCUGAAAGGCAGACACACUCUUGACAGGACUCAUUGAUACACAAGAGGAUGUGACUGUAAUCUCAAGAAGACAAUAGCCCAAGGACCGACCAUUAACGAGUCAGGGACUCUCCAGCAUGAGUGGAAGGAGCGAAAGCCUGCAAAGAUAACACUUGGUGCAAGUAAAACGGCCUGAUGGGCAUAUUGGCACAGUUAAACUUUUUGUGCUGUCUGUCCCCCUGGUUUUGUGGGGGAGGGAUGUGUUAACACAGUGGCCAAUUAUUAUAUAUUCAGAUUUUCUGCAGGGUCAUUUGGGACACUUGACACCCCCACAAUGGUCCCCGACUGAAGUGCUCCAGGAACUUUCAGGCAUUGGAAGGAGCAGUCCAGUUAUCAAAACUCACAGUUCAUACAGAUCUAAAGACCUGAGGGACACCUA